rnacentral:lncRNA from 1 species
GCUUCUUUUUAUGUCCUGUGUUGGUUGUUGUGGCGGUCAGUGAAAGGUUUUUUAUUAUUUUGUAUUAUUUUGUAGCUGGGCAUUCAGAGCUCAGCAUCACAAAGACAAAUGUGGAGUGACAAUGUGAAUUACAGACCAGAGACAUCUUCAUCAGCACCGUGUGUGCGCGCGUGUACCCGUCCCUGCAGCAGUAUAAUACAAUGAGCCAGAUUUGCCAUCCUAUCAAAGGGUACCAGAGAUGAGUAAACGAAUACAUGAAUAAAGGUGCCUAGAUUACUUAUAAAUGUAAGAAGGUUUUUAAACCUUGUCACCUUAGUUACAUUGACCUUUCUUGGUUGUAGUGGCUCUCACCUGAAUCCACCCUUCCAGUGGGAUCAAGAUAAUCCUGAUGUUCAGUAUCAAAACUCUCCUAAUCACCUGGAAAACGCAAAAACAACAUUUAAUCCCGAUUAAAUGUCAGAAUGGAUUACCAAAUCUGAACACAAUUUUAACAUUUAAUCCUAUCCAACUUCCGAAAUCUGAUCAGAUAACUUUCUAAAAACUGGGCCCUUGUGGCAGUGACUGAGAGAGGCACUUAUCCAGGCAGAUAUUUUAGCUUAGGUGGCACUAUGGCACAGAAGAACAGUGCAUUGACAGUGGCAGGCUCCCCGGAGCGGAUGCAUAAGGCAGGUGCCAAGCCCCUACUACUCUUGUGCAAGGCACCCCUCAACCUGGGGGGAGAUGGCAGCUCUGAGUCCUGGCUUCCAAAUCAUCAGUGAGCAGCUGCAGAGGAGCUCUCUGAGAGCUGGAGGGCAGCAGUGGCAUGGUUUUCUCUUGGCUGGAGGAUGGUGGGUGGCAGGAGGACAGAGCCAGUAGUGGGAAAUACUGUUGUUGAG